rnacentral:lncRNA from 1 species
GCUGUUUCUCGAAUUCUGGUCUUCUCAAAACAGAUAGGAAUGCGUAGCUGCAUGGGUCCCAGUGGCUCAAGUGCACUCCUCUGAAUACUGGGUGCCGAAGUGAGUCAAAGGUAAAUGAGAUGGAGGAGUGGAUUCCUUGUGAAACCUUUUCUCUCCACAUCCCUCAAAAGCACAGAAGGACCUCUUGACCCUAGUUUAAACCUUUCCUACCCCAUUAGGGUACUCAUUUUGCUUUCUAGUCUUUACCAGCUCCAGAAUCAAGACUCCGGAAUUACUGUAAUUCUGCCAUUUCCUCAUUGAGUGGCCCCUGGAUGCGGCUGAUAUUUCUUUAAAUAGAGCAAGUUCAUGAACCAAUUUCAGCGCCCUUGAAAACAGCUGUUUAUGUGCCCAGGUGUGCAGCCCCAUGCAGGGCCUGUGUGGAUCGAACCCUGGUGUCUUGAUUGAUUACUUCAGCUUUGGAGCUCCCUAUCGGAUCACGGAUCUGGAUGCCACGCAGUGCUCAGUACCAUGGGAGUCUGACAGAUGGGAGUGAUAGUCCCAGCAGCUCAGGGCGAUCUGCAUGGAUGCUAUGAGGCUUUCCUUGUGUUGCUGAUGUGAUUUGGUGGUACAAGGAAUAUUCAGAGGAUAGCAUGUCUUAACCUGACAGCCCAGAAGAGUUUUUUCAGGUAAGAUGUGAACCAUGUUUAAAAAAACCAAAAAUCAACAAACAAACAAACAAAACCUUGAUUGAUAACGGAAAGAAUAUGGCUUCUUUGUCUUAUACAGGAGAAAACAGAGAAGAGGGGAGAUGACUGGUCUAGGGAGGAGCUGAGAGCUGGGCCCAAAUGACAGACAGCUUUAAAGUGUGUUUACUCUGUUCACGGAAAUGAGCAGAUACAGAGCUCGCAAAUACUGAGAAUGAAUCAGCUCAGCCUCCCAACUGGAGACUCUUUACUUGGUCUUGGUAGCUCCAUGUGUGACAGAAAACAACCCUUUUCAGUCAUAUCACAGGACUGGACUUCUCUGGCUUCAGGCAGAAGCAUCAGUUCUGUUGUUCAUGAGAAUGAAGUUUGGGUCACCUGAUGAAGUAUUAGCAAUGCGUAUGCAAAGUGGCAUGUCCUUCUGGAGUUUCUUCUCGUUUGUCCUUUCAUUGUGUAUCUCUGCAGGACUGAAGCAAAUUCAGUUGGUCAACUAAGUGAAAAAUGAUCACAAAAAGGGUAACAUUUGAAAUGUCCAGCUACUUCACUAGAAAAAGAGAAAAAUGAAAAGGAUGUCUCGAUUUUUGGACAGUUUACAUAUAGAGAAACCAUUAAACACUAAAGCUUGAGGAAUAUUUACACAUUAACCCCGUAAAUCUGUUCAUAAUGUAUGCUCUAAAGUCAUCAUAGUAUAGAGAAUGAAAUGAGUGUACUAAUCAGGUAGAGAUUUUAUGAAGUGGCAUGGUGGUACAUGCCUUCAUUUCAGUGUUUGAGAAACAGAGGCAGGGAUAUCUCUGAGUUAGAGGCCAGCCUGAUCUACAGAGAAAGUCGAGGCCCAACAGGGCUCAGGGCUACAUAGACAAACCUCAUCUCAAAAAACAAACAAAUAAGCAAACAACAACA